GUAGUCGUGGUCGAGUGGUUAAGGCGACAGACUUGAAAUGUGUUGGGAUAAUCCCGCGCAGGUUCAAAUCCUGCCGACUACA
rnacentral:tRNA from 1 species